rnacentral:siRNA from 1 species
UCUGGAUAGUUGUUUCACGGA